AAUUGCCCUUCGGGGUGCAGCAGGCGCGAAAACUUCACAAUGGAAGAAAUCCCGAUGAGGGAAUUCCAAGUGCUAGCACUAUGUGUUAGCUGUUCUUUUGUCUAAAAAACAGAAGAAGUAAGGGCCGGGUAAGACGGGUGCCAGCCGCCGCGGUAAUACCCGCGGCCCGAGUGGUGGUCGAUAUUAUUGAGCCUAAAACGUCCGUAGCCGGUCUUGUAAAUCCUUGGGUAAAUCGGCCAGCUUAACUGUCCGAAGUCCGGGGAGACUGCAAGACUUGGGAUCGGGAGAGGUCAGAGGUACUUCUGGGGUAGGGGUAAAAUCCUGUAAUCCUGGAAGGACCACCGGUGGCGAAGGCGUCUGACUAGAACGAAUUCGACGGUGAGGGACGAAGCCCUGGGGCGCAAACGGGAUUAGAUACCCCGGUAGUCCAGGGUGUAAACGCUGCGGGCUUGGUGUUGGGGGUCCUUUGUGGGCGCCCUGUGCCGGAGAGAAGUUGUUAAGCCUGCUGCUUGGGGAGUACGUCCGCAAGGAUGAAACUUAAAGGAAUUGGCGGGGGAGCAC
rnacentral:rRNA from 1 species